CAACCGGUUUGUGGAUCGGUGGGCGCGCCGUCCCUGCGACGGGCGGCGCGACAUUCGCGGUGUUCAAUCCCGCUGAUGGGUCGG
rnacentral:tRNA from 1 species